GUGGGGAAUAUUGGACAAUGGGGGGAACCCUGAUCCAGCCAUGCCGCGUGGAGGAAGACUGCCCUCUGGGUUGUAAACUCCUUUUAUAUGGGAAGAACCGUCCUCAUUAAUGAGUGACCUGACGGUACCAUAGGAAUAAGCACCGGCUAACUCCGUGCCAGCAGCCGCGGUAAUACGGAGGGUGCAAGCGUUAUCCGGAUUCACUGGGUUUAAAGGGUGCGUAGGCGGAUAAAUAAGUCAGUGGUGAAAUCAACGGGCUCAACCUGUUAACUGCCAUUGAUACUGUGUAUCUUGAAUAUGAGAGAGGUAGGCGGAAUGUUGCAUGUAGCGGUGAAAUGCUUAGAUAUGCUACGGAACACCGAUUGCGAAGGCAGCUUACUAUUUCGUAAUUGACGCUGAGGCACGAAAGCGUGGGUAGCGAACAGGAUUAGAUACCCGAGUAGUCC
rnacentral:rRNA from 1 species